GCCUUAAGAUUUUUAAUUUAAGGUGUCACCUGCUCAAUGGUUUUUUAAAGAGCCGCAGUAAUUUCACUGCACUGAGGUAGCACAAUUAUUUGUCUUUUAAUUGGGGACUGGAAUGAAGGGUUUAACAUAAAGAAUACUGUCUUUAUUUUUAUUUUUGAAAUUAAUUUUUUUGUAAAAAAGCUAAAAUGUAAUAAAGGGACGAAAAGACCCUAUCAAGUUUUAUAUAUAAGUUUAUUAUUUUUAUAAAUAUAUAUAUUUAUUUGGGGUGAAUGAAAAAUAAAUAACUUCUUUAAAUUACAAUAACUUAAUUGUUCAUUAAGAAACUACUAAAAUUUAGAAAUCUUGACUUACUGUAGGGGUAACAGCAUAAUUUUUUUUAUAAGUACUAAUUAUAAAAAGAGUUUAUGACCUCGAUGUUGGAUUAAUUUGGCCUUUAAAUAAAGAAGUUUAAAUAGGUAUGCCCGCCUAACACAAAAACCACCAAG
rnacentral:rRNA from 1 species